rnacentral:rRNA from 1 species
CCUACGGGAGGCAGCAGUAAGGAAUAUUGGACAAUGCCCGCAAGGGUGAUCCAGCCAUGCCGCGUGCAGGAAGAAGGCCCUAUGGGUCGUAAACUGCUUUUACACCGGAGAAAACCUCCCUUCGUGAAGGGAGCUGAUAGUAUGGUGAGAAUAAGCAUCGGCUAACUUCGUGCCAGCAGCCGCGGUAAGACGAAGGAUGCAAGCGUUAUCCGGAUUCAUUGGGUUUAAAGGGAGCGUAGGUGGACUGAUAAGUCAGUGGUGAAAUCUUCGAGCUUAACUCGGAAAUUGCCAUUGAUACUGUUAGUCUUGAGUACAGUUGCUGUGGGCGGAAUAUGACAUGUAGUGGUGAAAUACAUAGAGAUGUCAUAGAACACCGAUUGCGAAGGCAGCUCACAAAGCUGUAACUGACACUGAGGCUCGAAAGUGCGGGGAUCAAACAGGAUUAGAUACCCUGGUAGUCCGCACUGUAAACGAUGAUUACUCGCUGCUAGAGGGCAACUUUAGUGGCUUAGAGAAGAGANAGUAAUACACCGUAGGAGGUACGCCGGCGACGGUACGAACGUAAGAAGUAGUAGACGNGAGAGAGCGACGGACGACGACGACGGGAGGGAGGAG